GACGAACGCUGGCGGCGUGCCCAACACAUGCAAGUCGAGCGAUGAAGUUUCCUUCGGGAAACGGAUUAGCGGCGGACGGGUGAGUAACACGUGGGUAACCUGCCUCAUAGAGGGGAAUAGCCUCCCGAAAGGGAGAUUAAUACCGCAUAAUAUUACAGUUUUGCAUGAAACAGUAAUUAAAGGAGCAAUCCGCUAUGAGAUGGACCCGCGGCGCAUUAGAUAGUUGGUGAGGUAACGGCUCACCACAGCGACGAUGCGUAGCCGACCUGAGAGGGUGAUCGGCCACAUUGGGACUGAGACACGGCCCAGACUCCUACGGGAGGCAGCAGUGGGGAAUAUUGCACAAUGGGGGAAACCCUGAUGCAGCAACGCCGCGUGAGUGAUGACGGUCUUCGGAUUGUAAAGCUCUGUCUUUGGGGACGAUAAUGACGGUACCCAAGGAGGAAGCCACGGCUAACUACGUGCCAGCAGCCGCGGUAACAC
rnacentral:rRNA from 1 species